rnacentral:rRNA from 1 species
GGUGUACCUAAAGUCGGUAACCGCAAGGAGCCGCCUAGGGUAAAACUAGUAACUGGGGCUAAGUCGUAACAAGGUAGCCGUACCGGAAGGUGCGGCUGGAAUACCUCCUUUUUAGAGCU